ensembl:lncRNA
AGAAGUGUUGUUGCAUUGAGAUUCUUGCAAGUACUGAAAUUCCCUGUAAAAUGUACAUCUAUUUCUCUCUUCUGUGGUUUUUUUCAGGUGGACCUCAUCUGAUCAGUUGAAGUCUUGAAUAGAAUAAAAAGACUGACCCUCCCUUGAGUAAGAGGGAAUCUCGCCUGCCUGCCUUCAAACUGGGACAUUGGUUUUUUUCCUGCCUUUAGACUCAAACUGAUCAUUGGCUCUUUGUGGGAUUCACGCCUGGCAGCCUUUGGACUGGAAAUACACCAUCAGCUCUCCGGGUCUCCAGCUUGCCAGCCCACCCUGCAGAUCGUGGGACUUGUUGGCCUCCACAAUCAUGUGAACUAAUUCCUUAUAAUAAGUCUCUUUCUGUAUAUAUAUAUAUUUUUUAUUGGUUCUCUUUCUCUGGGGGAUCUUGAUUAAUUCGGAAGGUGAAAGGUGCAUCUGUUGGGUCUACUGCUUUCUCUGGCCAGCACACUGUGGUAGGCAGAAUUCUCAAAACAGCCCCCGAGGUCCACACCCUAAUCCUGAGAACCUGUGAAUGGGCUGAGAUCCCACUCCUGUGAUGCUCUGGUGCUAUGUGGCUCACUGGAUCUUAAAAUAGAGAGAUUGUCCAGGUGGCCCUAAUCUUAUCACAUAAACCCGGCUAAAGGCAGAGAGUUUUCUCUGGUUGGAAGUGUAGUGGAAGUCAGAGGAUUAGCGUGAGAGGGAGUCUAGAUGAGGGGUCUUGCCACAGGCUGUGAUGCUGUGAUGGGGCCUGGAAGGAAGCCUCUGGAAGGAACUGUGGAUGGCCCAUAGAAGUUGAGAGUGACUCCUGGCCAACAGUCAGGAGACAAAGACCUCAGUCCUACAACUGCAAGGGACUGAAUUCUGCCAAACCUGAGUGAGCUUGGAAGCAGAUUUUCCACACAGCCUGCAGAGGAGCACCCAGCCUGCUGACAUCUUGACUUCUGCCUGGAGAGACCCUAAGCGGAGAACCCAGGAGGACCCACCUGGACUUUGGACCUAUAGGAUUGGGAUAAUAAGUGGGUAUUGUUUUAAGAGCCAGUGGUAAUUUGUUACACAGAGUAGAAAACUGAUGCACAUAGACAAAGAGAUGUGGCUUCCUAUGGCAGCACUAGCAGAGAUUUAGGGGUGAGUCAUUGGUGUCAAGAGGCAGGCUGUAGGACGUCUGUUUCAGCUGGCAUAGACCUAGCAGGUAUAGUGACUCUGGAGCCAACAGUGCCAGUGGUGGCCUUCCUGUUUCCAGCUUUCCCAUUGUGGCAGAGGUUGGGGUUACUCUGGUAGGACAAUUCUACUGUGUUGUCCUUGGAUUCCAGGAGUGCCGUCUAGACUGUACUUAUCCAGCCCUUCUAAUGGUUUUGAGCACCCAAUUCCUCAUAUUAAAUCACUGCUUAAAUAUAAGAUACUCUGUUAUAUGCUACUGAACCUUGACUGUUAUAUCUUCAGAUCUCACCUACUUGUUAAAUACAAUCACAUCUGUCAGCUUAUUCAAAUCUCGGAAGCACUGACCACUCCUUACUUCCUGAAAAUCACUCUUCUUUUGUUUUUGAUGACAUCUCAUUCUCCUGGUUUCUCUUAUACAUUUCUUCUACUAAUUUUUAC